AUGUGGUAUUUAGAGGGUUGGCAUCUACUACAUUUUAAAGAUCACUAUGCUGCUUCCUACACAGGAAAAAUAACAGGAAAUAGCACAGAGACACAGGCUGCAGGGGACAGUAUUUUUAGAUUGAGGCAACUUCUUGAUCAAUUCAGGAAAGGUACAAAUGAGAACAAGCACCGGUUCAUAAUUAAGAACAAAGCGAAACACAUAUUACACACAUCCUCACUUAAGGUACUAAGUACUGUUUGGAGCCAAAGCUAACACAAAGAACGACUUAUGGUAAAAUUUUAAGGUUUUGUUUUACAGAACAAAGGAAUAUUUAUAUAUUCUUUAAGUAAAGAAGAAAAAAAAAGCAAUUUUUAUUUGAACAAUAGGAAACAUAAACAACGGGGUCCAAACCUUUUGCAGGGAGAGACAGAUUUGGUGAGGUUGAAAUGUGGGCUGACCAUUCAAUCUGACAUCCUUCUAACAAUUUUAAUAACAUUUAAUUAAAAUGACCUAUUUGAUAAACAUUGUGUUGCAAUACACUUGUCAUUUCUUCCUGACAAAUACAACAAAUACAUCUAAAUAUGUUUUUACCAAAAUCCCUGCCAAUUUGUCUUUUUUUUGCACCGUUCAUUCCCAGUUAGCUCGCUUGCCUGGUAGUGCCUCUUCAUGGGGACUGUGAAGAAAUAAUUUAGCCAACUACCAUCAAGGAAUUUCACAGACAGUUUUUUUAAGUGCUGGGAGCUGCAUAUUAUUGAUUUAAUGAAAGGAGCCUGUGGGCCAUUGGGAAUUUCAACACACAUUUGGCCUAUGGGCCGGACUUUGGACGUGCUUGUUGUAAACUGUUUAUUGAGCUGAAAAGAAAUAAACAUAAUAAAGUAAAGCAAUAUUUUUUGUACAUACAAACAUCAUAAAUAUUUGACCACAUUCUCACAGAAGUUGCAAGUAACAGUUCAGUACAGUUCCAUAAGAAAACUCUGUAUGUAGCACACAACGGAGGAUACUGCCUUGCUUUAAAUGUGUGGAGGUAUUGGAUGCUGUUUUUACUCACAGGAGUGCUCACUGACCUUCCGGACCUCUUUCAGGUAGCUUGCUGGGUAAUCAGUGCAAGAUAUCAAAGGACAACAAUAGGGACUACAUGUGCCACUUUAUCUGUGCUAUGAGCCUCUCCAAUGUUAAAAUGUCAGUCAAAAUAAUUAGAACUGCACUGAGAUGAGCCAAGGACAAGACAAAAAUAAAUGCAUACCUUUAAUUUAUUUUUUAAAUAAGAACUGAUAGUCCUAUGUAAACUUUUUGCUAUUAUAAUUUAUUUCAUAAUUUUUUGGGUUAUUAAAAUUAGAAAAAUAGUGCGUAAAAUAUAACAUUUAGAAACUAGCAGUAUAAAAUUUUAAGUAAAAAGGAACAUUAAAGCUUUAAAAGGUCUAGUAAUGAACAUACUUUCAAAGUAAACAGCUUAUUUAUCAAGAUUUCCUAUCUUGCCUGAUGCCUUUCUGAAUAAGAGACAUACAUGGAGAUAAUAGUGAUCAAUCUCUUGAUUAGGGAUGGCGAUUGCAGUCAUAAAAACAAAACAAAAACAAAAAAUAGCUUGUUACUCUGGGUUGUCCUUUUCUUUUAUUUUUCAGAAAACCCCUUUUUUUUACUUUUAGCCCAACUGUUAAACAAAAGUGUAUCCUAUAUUAGACCUUAAUUUGAAAAUAUCCAACAAAAGCCAAAAUGUUUAAUGCAAUGAAUGAAUAUUGAAUUUAAGGUUUAUCUAGUUUUAAACUGUUUUUUUCCCCACGGCUCUGGGCUAGCUUCUGUUUUCUUGAGUAAAACGAUGGCUCAAAAUCCCUUUUUUCUUCAAUUUCCCUGACGCAUUCCAAUGCAGAGAAUGUCAGUAGCAAGGUCGACAGCGAAGACCUCUGGGAAGGGUUCCACUGAACUCUCUUUUGUCUGUUAAAAGAUCAGGGAGUGUAAUUUCGGAUUCUGCUAUCGAGGACUGUUCUGCUGUGUACGCGCAUUAGUAUGUAUCCUGAAUCCAGAGAGAAAAACAGCAAAGAUCAUCAAAGAAGGAGGAAGAAAAAGUCGAUUCUUUGUAGCUCAACUUAAAUUUAAAUACUACAGACCCAUAUAAAGAACAAGAACAUCUGCUGUUUUACAUUAAGGUUAAAUAUUUAUAAAUGUUCAGGAGAAAAUAUAAUAAUUUAGAAAUUUAUUUAUGUCCAAUUACACUCUAUUAGGUUAAACCCAUUUAAUUGCUGAACUCUUGUGGGAAUGAAAAUUGAAAAGCUAGGUUUAAUUUCAUAGUUCUGUAUUUUCAAGGGACCUUUUCACCGUCUCUAAAGCCCUCACACUAUUACUUGUCAUGUAAAAAGCAAUUACAACCCGUGGCGGGAUGAAAUGUGUCAUCAGAGAAUCCAUUAACAAUGUCCUCAGACCUUAAUAUUUACAGUCACCACCCUACUUUCACAGGCAUCCCUGGGUUUUAUAGAGAUGUGAAGGACAAUUAAAAGGCACGGGUCUCAUUUUCAGAUCAGGCAGUCUGUUUGAGGCCAUUAUAAACUCAGUUUUUAUGAGUGUAUUGUUAUACUACAUAAAGUUGCACAGUAGGCAUGCACUUGUUGUUGCCUUUACAAAAAAACAAAAAUAAACACAUUUGCCCACAAAAGUGGUUAAAAUCUAUCUAUCGUAUGCUUUGCAGAACACAUGAGGGAACAUUUAUAGUUCAAUUUAGUUAUCAUAAAUUACAACUGUUUAUUGGUUUCCACUAGAGAUCAAUAAACAAAGACAAUCAAUAAUAACUAUUGCAAUUACCAAAGGUGCAUGAAAAUGUACGUUUAGCAAUUGCUAUCACCAACAAGGGUGAGCAUAUUUUUAAGUAUUAUAGAUGUAUGCUAAGACAUCUAUGGAUUCCAACAUAAAUUCUGCUGUUAAAACGUCCUCAGAAUGUCAUUCGGGCCUUUCUUUGGGCAUUUGCGGCUCAUUGGCCUAUGAUGUAGUCCUACAGCUGGAGGGUUGCUAGUUUGAGUCCAACAGGGCUUAACCAAGGUGGGUCAGAUGUCCAGCAAUGCUUGUCUGUGGCAGCCUUAAGCAAGGCCUUUAACCACAAUUGCUCCAGUAGAGAUACCAUGGGAAUAAAGUAUAAAUGUGAAAUGUGAAACUGCAAGAGUGAGUCCUUAAAAAAUGGAAAAAUCAUUCAGAGGUAGAUUUUUUUCCUGAACACCAGUCAUUGAACAUACUUAAAACAUAAAAGUGUCAUGUUUAUUUAUAAAAAAUGUAUUUAAA
rnacentral:lncRNA from 1 species